rnacentral:rRNA from 1 species
CUUGCUGGUGGAUUAGUGGCGAACGGGUGAGUAACACGUGAGUAACCUGCCCUUGACUCUGGGAUAAGCCUGGGAAACUGGGUCUAAUACCGGAUAUGACCGACUAUCGCAUGGUGGUUGGUGGAAAGCUUUUGUGGUUUUGGAUGGACUCGCGGCCUAUCAGCUUGUUGGUGGGGUAAUGGCCUACCAAGGCGACGACGGGUAGCCGGCCUGAGAGGGUGACCGGCCACACUGGGACUGAGACACGGCCCAGACUCCUACGGGAGGCAGCAGUGGGGAAUAUUGCACAAUGGGCGCAAGCCUGAUGCAGCGACGCCGCGUGAGGGAUGACGGCCUUCGGGUUGUAAACCUCUUUCAGUAGGGAAGAAGCGUAAGUGACGGUACCUGCAGAAGAAGCGCCGGCUAACUACGUGCCAGCAGCCGCGGUAAUACGUAGGGCGCAAGCGUUAUCCGGAAUUAUUGGGCGUAAAGAGCUCGUAGGCGGUUUGUCGCGUCUGCCGUGAAAGUCCGGGGCUCAACUCCGGAUCUGCGGUGGGUACGGGCAGACUAGAGUGAUGUAGGGGAGACUGGAAUUCCUGGUGUAGCGGUGAAAUGCGCAGAUAUCAGGAGGAACACCGAUGGCGAAGGCAGGUCUCUGGGCAUUAACUGACGCUGAGGAGCGAAAGCAUGGGGAGCGAACAGGAUUAGAUACCCUGGUAGUCCAUGCCGUAAACGUUGGGCACUAGGUGUGGGGGACAUUCCACGUUUUCCGCGCCGUAGCUAACGCAUUAAGUGCCCCGCCUGGGGAGUACGGCCGCAAGGCUAAAACUCAAAGGAAUUGACGGGGGCCCGCACAAGCGGCGGAGCAUGCGGAUUAAUUCGAUGCAACGCGAAGAACCUUACCAAGGCUUGACAUGAACCGGUAAUACCUGGAAACAGGUGCCCCGCUUGCGGUCGGUUUACAGGUGGUGCAUGGUUGUCGUCAGCUCGUGUCGUGAGAUGUUGGGUUAAGUCCCGCAACGAGCGCAACCCUCGUUCUAUGUUGCCAGCACGUGAUGGUGGGGACUCAUAGGAGACUGCCGGGGUCAACUCGGAGGAAGGUGGGGACGACGUCAAAUCAUCAUGCCCCUUAUGUCUUGGGCUUCACGCAUGCUACAAUGGCCGGUACAAAGGGUUGCGAUACUGUGAGGUGGAGCUAAUCCCAAAAAGCCGGUCUCAGUUCGGAUUGGGGUCUGCAACUCGACCCCAUGAAGUCGGAGUCGCUAGUAAUCGCAGAUCAGCAACGCUGCGGUGAAUACGUUCCCGGGCCUUGUACACACCGCCCGUCAAGUCACGAAAGUUGGUAACACCC